ensembl:lncRNA
CUUCCUCCUCUCUGUAAAUGUCUCAAGGCCGAAGACAGGCUGGUUGGGAAAGCUCCGACCAGCAAGGCCAUAUGCUCCCCCUCCCCUACCUAAAACCCCAAAUAGAAACCCUUCCUUUUAGCUUUUUGGGGAGUUUGGGAUUUCAGCGUUAGCUGCCCUCUCUCCUUGCUCAGCGCUGUGCAAAAAUAAAGUUCCUACUUUCUUCCACCACCCCCGGUGUCAGAGAUUGGCUUGCUGCGCAACGGGUGAGGGAACUCACUUCAGGUUCAGUAACAAUUUGGCACCCCAGAUGGGACAAUGUCCCAGGUGGACGUCUCGCCUGUGGCACACCGGCCUCUGGCUAAAGGCCUCUCUUGGAAGCUGUCCUGCAGCUGCCUGAGCCCCUUGUCUCAGGGACAGCCCCAAGUGACUGGCUGCUAGCCAGACGUUGGCCCAUGGCGCUUUUGCUUUGGUGGUGGAAGAAACCAGGUUUAGGACAUAGGAAGACGUCUCUUGUAAGUAGCUGGUAGUUUUUGUUUUUGUCUUUGUGUUAACCUUCUCCAACAGGACCGGCUGGAAAUAAUGGGUACCCUGGCAGCCCUCUGGGCUCCAUUUGUUUUGAAGUCGCCGCGAUGCCCCGGCCAAAUUUUGGUAAGUGCCCCGGGUGUGCACAACCGAGGUCCCUUGUCCUUGCUCACUUGGGAAGAUCUGCAUGGCGCAUCUUCAUUUGUUGGGCACCCACCGAGUGUAGGACACGGACUAAGCUGGGACUGGAGGCGCUUUGGUUUUUGGUUUUGGUCUUUGUUUUGGCUUCCGUUUGUGGCCGAGGGUUUUUGGGAAGGUGCGCUUGUUUGGUAUUUGUUGUUAUCUGUCCGUUUGUCUGUCCUUUUAAAGGUGUCAACAUGGGAGAUGCUGCAUUUAUCCCACCUAAGAGCCCCUUUGGGAAAAACUUUGGCUGGUGGUCGACCUAGAGCUAUAAGCCAAUGUCUAAAGAGGGAUGAUUUUCUUUUGUAACACCAUGUGGCCACAAUAUUCUUUAGACUCCGGACAGAAAAAAAAAUGGCCAAACGAUGGAUCGUCAAGUUGGGAAACUUUUAGAGAGCUCUUAUGAUAAACAACUGUUUUAUUGGCACCUAUGAAAAGCCCAAAUUAAGAGGAAACUAUAAUGACUAGUCUUAAGAACUUAAUCCAACUUGGGGUCUCAGCUUCUCGUAGUCUUACAGAUGCUAAUGAAAAUGUUAAGUUAACAAAGAGAAAUCAGAAAUGGAAGAGUCACAGGACUCGCCCCAAUGGGAUACAUGGAACAGAUAUGGAUGAAGUUAAAACAAAGGUUUUAAUGAAACACUGCCUAAGGUUGGAUGGGCUAAAGGGACCGCCCUAUUGGCUCCCCAACAUUAAAGGACAUCAGACAAACCUGUUCUAUUUACCCCAGUUUGAAAAAUUUAAAAGGUCAGGAGGCAGAAAUCAAAGUGAGAAACCUGACCAACAAUUGUUUGGGGCAACAGUUAGGCUACUGAGAUUAAUAAGACUAUAAAGAUUAAAGUGUUUAAGCUAAUGUUAUAUGCGAGGUUAUGUCAACUUCGCCUGGAUGUUUUCUUUGGGAACAAAUGUUAUGUCUAACUAGGAAUGCUUCUGCUGAACAAUAUUGUAAUACCAAAACCUGUUAAUAGAAUUCUAAUAGAAAUUCAUGGAAAGGACUCUGACACUCUGGAAUACAGGUUUCCAGUAAACGUUCAGAUUGUAAAACUAAACUGGGACACAAUUGGAAACAGUGGUUAUAUUACCAAGGCUUUGACUGGAACAUCAUGUUUGAAAAAACAGAUGGGCUUGAGUAUAACAAGACAGCUUUUGAGGAAUGAAGGUUGACAUUCUGGAAUAAAGCCACUUGGAAAUAUUGGCCUGGUACUGUGCUUAUGGGUUCUGUAACCUGGUAAGGUUGAGCAAAGAAUGUCACUCCCUCUGGCAGGUACCAGGAACCUCAAUAUUUUGGGGAACCUCACGAAGAGAGAGAUUCACCCAAAUCUGCAGGUACUGCAGGCAGAAUGUGAUACAGGUCCUUUGCUUGGCUUUCCUUGAGAGGCCUUUAAAGAUCAACCUGAGAUUCCAUAUAAGGUUCCAGCAAAGCAGAUUUAAAAGAGCCUAUAUGAUAAAUUACUAUUCUUGCUAUGCUUAUUAAAUAGUUAAAUAAUUAUGCCAAAUUUAUUAAAACUAUACAUUUUGCAAACCAGAGUGAAAUUGAGGGUGAUUUUAGGGAGGAAGAUUAUGUUUCAAUGGACACUAUAAUACAUGUUUAUAGAUAUUAGACUUUAGUUUUUUCAAUUGUCUUUGAAAUUUUUAUUUUACUUCUGUUAACUGGACUGGAUCUUGAAUUCUUCACCUCCUGAAAUAUCUGGCUAAAAACCUCCAAACUGAGAUUUUCAGGGUUUUUUCCCCCAUUAUUUUCAUUUAGAGUCAUUGAAAACUAAAUGUGCCCUUUUUCUAAAGCCUUACAAACUGAAGCUGGAGGACCUAAUAGAAACUUCAGAGAGAUUCAUGUCUGCUGCUGUGUAAGCCACUCAAAAAGCUACCUGAGUGCCCGAUGACACCAUCAGAGACAUUUCAAACUGCAGAAGAUGCUUCGACCCUGACUUCCAGGACUCUUGAUUGGCUGCCCCCUGGGCUCAGAAACUGGUUUAUAAUUUGCUCCAACGAUUAACCUCGUUUUUCUCUUUUUGUUUCUCUAGAAAAACUUCGUAUUAAAUACCUGGUUACUUACUUACAUGAUACAGGCCCACCUUCAGGAGCCCACCAGCAUCACCGCCUUAUUAAAAGACUGGUUCAAUGAGAUGAAAUGACCUAUGCCCCAUUUCAGCAGGAAGUAGCUAGAUCCGUCGCCGCCCCAAAUCCCUCAAGAUUGAGGGAGGACAUAAAAUAGGGGGGAGUUGAUAUCGACCCUGAUAUCAGUUUCCCCACAUUAAACUCAGCAUGUAUGGGGUUAAAACCAAAACACUCAUUCCCUGCUUACUCUCUGGCUUCCUGGCUCCAGAAUCCACUAUCCUCCAUGGAGACAGACACCGUCAAGGACAAGCACCUGGACUAUCUCCUCCCACAAAGAGAUACAGACUGGUGGGAAAGCUGGUGACCAGCAAGGUCACAGGCUUCCUCCUCUCUGUAAAUGUCUCAAGGCCAAAGACAGGCUGGUUGGGAAAGCUCCGACCAGCAAGGCCAUAUGCUCC